rnacentral:misc_RNA from 1 species
AACUGAUACUACCUGCGGGAACCUGCGGAAGGAUCAUUACUGAAGUGAUUUGGGGAUGUUGCUGGCCCUCUCUCAAGGGGGGGCACUGUGCACUCCUCGAAACAAUUCACAAUUUCCAUCACACCCCUUGUGCACACCUUGUAGGCACCCAAACCCACCUCCGGGUGGUGGGGUCCUAUGUAUUCCUUCAUCUCACACUCUGUUGAAUGGUGCCAUGGGACGCACCUAAAGGAUUAUUUG